rnacentral:rRNA from 1 species
UACGGAGGGUGCAAGCGUUAAUCGGAAUUACUGGGCGUAAAGCGUGCGCAGGCGGUUCGUUAAGUCCGUUGUGAAAGCCCCGAGCUCAACUUGGGAAUUGCAGUGGAUACUGGCAGGCUGGAGUACGGUAGAGGAAGGUGGAAUUCCCGGUGUAGCAGUGAAAUGCGUAGAUAUCGGGAGGAACACCAGUGGCGAAGGCGGCCUUCUGGACCAGUCCUGACGCUCAUGCACGAAAGCGUGGGGAGCAAACAGG